AUGGGGAUCUCGUUCAAGCUGUCUAAGGUCGGCGUUCGCGUGCAACCGACCGCGCGCUCUGCCGCUCCGGAGCUACCGGCCGCGGCGGAGACGGAGAAGCCGGGCGCCGGUGAGAAGGAUGGUUCCAGACCGGAAGCCAAACGGGAGGAUGCUAUUGUCGAGAGAGCUAAUGAUGCGAAUGGCAUCAAUAUUUCACCAGCAUGCUCUAGGGCGAUUUUGCCAGAUCAUGAAGUUUCUUUCACUUUCAGUCUCUAUGAUAGAGGUUACCUCAUCGCCAAGUCAGCAGUGCUGGAUCCUUGCCAGCCCUCUGUUCAGGAUGGGAAAACACUGCAUCCAUAUGAUAGAGCGUCAGAAAAAUUGUUUUCUGCCAUUGAAGCUGGAAGGCUGCCUGGAGAUAUUCUUGAUGAGAUACCAAGCAAGUACUACAAUGGUUCAGUUAUCUGUGAGAUACGCGACUACCGAAAGCAUGCAUCCAAUCAAGUUCAUGCACCAUCUGCUGACUUAGGACUACCUGCUGUGAAUAAAGUGCAGCUUCAGAUGACAUUUGAAAAUGUUGUUAGGGACAUUAUGCUGCUAUCUGAUGAUUCAUGGAGUUACAGAGAUUUCAUGGAGGCAGAGUCACGGAUUGUCAAAGCUCUACAACCAGCACUUUGCUUAGACCCUACACCAAAGUUGGACCGACUUUGUCAGGAUCCUGUUCCUCAUAAGUUAAACCUUGGUGUUGGAAGAAAGAGGCGGUUGAGGCAAAAUCCUGACGUUGUUGUCACAUCCAGUUACAUGUCUCAUGGUAAAAAGGUGUGCAUUGAUAGGGUGUCUGAAAGUACCAAAACGGACGAGAUGGGUAUUGCAAGUAGCAAUAUUACUCACCAGGUCCUUGAUAACAUUACUUCGCAAAUUAUGUCAGGUGGCUCUCAACCACUUAGACCAAGUAGUUCACAGGAUGCAGCUAGAAUGUCAAUGGUGUCCCAUUCUGGUAUCCAGCAAAAUAUCAAUUAUAAUGCUGUUGGUAAUGAUCAUGGGGCAGGAGGUCCUGUCAGUUUUACUGGAGUCAAUUCAAGCACUUCAUCUCAGAACAUGAUGGCUUACAAUGACAAUGGCCUUCUAUCUGUGAAGAGGGAACUACAAGAAGCUCCACUGCAAGACCCUAAGAGAGUAAAACCAACAAUUAGCACUGAUGAUAUCCAGCAGCAGCAACAGCGGCAGCAGAUACGGCCUCAAUCAGUUGCCCUUAGUGGGCAGGACAUGCAAUGGAAGAAGGGGAUGCAGUAUGCUUCAUUGAAUGGCCAGAGAUACCCCUCUCCAAUGGUGAACAAUAUGCAAGAUUCAGGGGCUUCCUUUUAUUUCAGAGAGCAGGGUUUGAGAUAUGGUGCUAAGCAAGAGCAGAUGGAUGGCAUGGAGAGAUGCAAAGACCCCUUGCAGGCUAUGCCCCCUGAAAAUACUGUGCUCGAUCAGCAGCAACCCCAUGCUCAACAUUUGUCACAACAAGCAGCAGCUAGAAACAAUCUACAGAACAUGGCACAAUGGCAGAAUCCUCGGGGUCCAAGUGAGAAAGACAUGAAGAAAGAAGAAAUGCUUCAGAGAAGAAAGUUAGCUGCUGCCUCUCGUGUCUCUUCUGCACCAAUGGUUCAGUCUCCAGUAUCCUCUAAAUCUGGAGAGAUAUCAAGCAGUUCAAUGGGUGGCCAGUUUGGUUCUGCUGCGACAUCUGCUGCAAUUGGAUCACAUAAAGAUAAUAAGUUUGCCACGAGUUCUAGUGCUGCCGUAGGAUACCCGUCUGUGGUUUCCAGUCCUAGUGAUUCUAUGCACCGGAUGCAGCAGCCUUCGGUUGCUCCUUCGAAAAGGAAAAAUUCUGCCCCCAAGACUCAACCACUUGUAAGCAGUGCAGGGUCCCCAGCCAGUGUUUCAAACAUGCUUCCUAUACCGAAUGCUAGCAGCCCUUCUGUUGGGACAUCAAUGGCUGACCAAUCAAUUCUUGAGAAAUUUAGAAAUAUUGAGGCUAUAUCCAAUCGGCAUCAGCUGCACAAUAAGAAGAACAAAGUUGAUAAUUUAUCUAAUAAUAGGAAGUCCAUGAUAAAUGCAAGCCGAGAGAAAGUUGUUACACUUCUCUCCAAUUGCUUCCAUACUGAGGAUUACAAAGAUGAGUUGAGGCCUCUUUGUAAUUCUAUGUUGAAUGGAACAAUAAAUUCCUUUAGGACCAGAAUACUGAACUUUGUUGUCACCAACCGCUCAUACCAAGGUCCUACAAAGCCGUUCCGGAUCAUUUUCAAGGAUAAGCCUGAUGGGACAGUGGGAAUGCAAUAUGGAGACCCAGAAGAUUUCGACAAUCGGAACUCACAUGAGUGUACACUCAUAUUACCCACCAAGUACCAUGCCGACUUGCUUGCAACACAACUCAUUGCUCGGAUGGAGAAAGAAGGCUAUGAUAAGGCAGAUGAUCAAGUUGUGCCCAGCAACCCUCCUGGUAACCUCAGUGGACUAUCAGGCAUGUUACCAGACAAUACAGCCAAUGAAGUGAAACAAGAGGGAGGUAUAACCCAGCAACUUAAUGCUGCAGCCCAUGCGAAUAUGGUAUCUGGAAGCCCUUUGCAACAACUUUCUGCCAAUAGGAUGCUUCCAUCUGGGAGUAGCAACCAGGCAGUACCAAUGCAGCAAGGGUAUAUGCAGGGUGCAACCAUGUCUGCAAGGAGUCAACAACUCGACCAAAGUUUGAUCCAGCAGCAACAACAGCAGCAGCCACAGCUGCAGCAGAAUGCACAAUCACAGCUUCAGCAACAAACAUCUCUUCCUCUCAACCAGAUGCAGAGACCCCAACUGCUACCAACAAGCCCAUUAUCUCAGAUGCUGGGGCCUGGCUCAAAUCUCCCAAUGGGCUCAAACCACAUGAGUAACACCAAGGCUACUACUCCUGCUUCCUUGCAGCUUCAUAUGAUGCAGCAAGCACAGCAGCAACAGCCAGUGCAGAUGUCAAGAAAAGUGAUGAUGGGGCCUGGCUCAUCUGUGAACAUGGGCAAUAUGGUUAAUAAUGUAGUAGGCCUCAGCGGUCUUGGAAAUAUUAUGGGAAUGGGCAAUGUGCGGCCAAUGUCCUCCCCGAUGGGAUCCAUGUCAGGCUUAGGGAACAGUCCCAAUCAGAUGAGCCUUGGAAUGGCAUCCAAUCUUGCCGCAGCUGGGCUUCGUCCAGGUAUGAACCCUGCUGCUAUUGCCAAGAUGCGGAUGGGAUUAGCUCAGCAACAAAGGGUGACCAGCCUUUACCCCCAGACUGGAAUGGUUGGAUUGCCUGGCAGUGGUUCACCAAUCCUUCCUAGUUCUGCCGGCUUGGCCAUGAUGGGCCAUCAUUCACUAAAUAGAAACAACCUUAAUCCCAUGCAGAGGGCCAUGAUGUCUCCAAUGGGCCCACCAAAGAUGCCAGUGGGUAAUUUUCAGAUGAAUGCCCAACAGCAGCAGCAGCAACAGCUGCAGCAGCAACAGCUGCAGCAGCAACAGCUGCAGCAGCAACUACAGCAGCAGCAACUCCAACAGAACCCCCAGCAGCAGCAGCAGCAGCAGCAGCAGCUCCAGCAGCAGCAGCAGCAGCAGCAGCUACAACAGCAACAGAUGCAACAGCUCCAGCAACAGCAUCAACAGCAGCAGCAGCAACAACAAAUGGGAUCCCCUUUGCAGCAGGCGGCACAAGUAGGUUCGCCUGCUGGUUCACAACAGUCAUUGGUGAUGCAGCAGCAGCAAAUAAGCCCGCAGCAAAUGGCUGCGAUGAGCCCACAAUUGAGCUCAGGGGCUCUGCAACAAGUGAAUAACAAUGUAGUCAAUCCUGUGGGGACGCCAGGCCCGCCUCAAAGUCCACAGUUGAGCUCACACUCACAGACCCAAGGUUCAGUCAGCAGCAUUGCAAACUCUCCAAUGGAACAGUUGCAAAGUGCCAAUAUGGGAGGUCCUGGUAGCAUGUAG
rnacentral:rRNA from 1 species